GUAGUUAGCCGGGGCUUCCUCACAAGGUACCGUCACUUCUUCGUCCCUUGCGACAGAGGUUUACAACCCGAAAGCCUUCUUCCCUCACGCGGCGUUGCUGGGUCAGGCUUGCGCCCAUUGCCCAAUAUUCCCCACUGCUGCCUCCCGUAGGAGUCUGGACCGUAUCUCAGUUCCAGUGUGGCCGAUCAGCCUCUCAGCUCGGCUACCCAUCGUCGACUUGGUGGGCCGUUACCCCGCCAACUAUCUAAUGGGACGCGAACCCCUCUUAUACCGGAUUGCUCCUUUGACCUCAUCCCGAUGUCGGGUCGUGGUCUUAUGCGGUAUUAGCAACCGUUUCCGGUUGUUAUCCCCCUGUAUAAGGCAGGUUGUUCACGCGUUACUCACCCGUUCGCCACUAAGUUAUCAACCGAAAUCAAUAACUCCGUUCGACUUGCAUGUGUUAGGCACGCCGCCAGCGUUCGUCCUGAGCCAGGAUCAAACUCUGA
rnacentral:rRNA from 1 species